UAGUGCUGCAAUGUAAAACAUUGCAGUUUUUAUGAGAAACUGCAAUGUUUACAUUGCAGUACUA